UUGACUCAGAAGGCCCAAAGGAUUGUUGUGGUUACAAGAGGGGGUGUGAAAGUGUGCAGUGGUGUGCAUAGCACCAAGCCUAGGUCAAGGGAUUUAGGCCACAACAGAUAAGCCAAAAGAGGAGGGUGACAGAUUCAUCAAUCUCACUUCAAAAUCCAUUCAGUUCCCUCAUCCACUAUGCCUAGCCACCAGAGUCCAGGACCUCGUCGCCCCGGAAAUGGCCUCCGGAGGCGGCGGAGGUCCAAACACCCUCAAAUUCACAUCAUCUGGUUUAUUUUAAUUCCCUCUUUCAUAAUCCCAACCUAUUUUUCUUUGACUCCUCACCAUCUCCCUAAAUCGACCCAAACGAAUUGUGAACCCUAAAAUUCCAAAAUGAAAUUAAAUGGAAGUGCAAGCUCAAAUAGGACUCAAACCUUAGGGGUUUGGUUCGUCCACUGCAAAGCUACAUUAUGGUAACAACAAUUGCAUAAGCUAAAGAGGAGAAGGCGUGACACCUACUAACGAGGACGAGAAUUUCCCAAAAAUUUGUUGGAAUGAAGAAGAUGAAGCCAAACGAUAAUUCCAGAGAAACUUCGAAGAGGGCUUGGCAUGGAAUGGUACAAGUUGGCAAGGCAUGGUGAUUAAGAGGUUUUGGAAUGGCAUGAAAGACUUGAUGCCACAAAUGGAGAAUCCAAUGGUAUGAAGACUAAAGUAGGCUAGGGGAUGAUUAGCUUGACUUUGGUCAACUGUUUUACCAAAAAUUCAAUAAUUGAUCAAAAGUCAACCUAGGUCAAAAUUAGGGUUUUCUUUGUGUGUGUGCUUUAUAAAUUUGGAUUUUGUAAUGUAUUUUUGGUGUGUUGACCAUGAAUUAUCCUUGUAUGGUUGUAAUUUGUUUUCCAAGCAAUGCAAAUGUUUUUCCCUCCA